GACCUGCACUUUGGAGUCUGAGCUGACAUGUAAGAAGUCCAACUACCCUGAAACUGCCCUACUGGAGAGACCAGAUAGAGAGACACAUGGAGAGAGAGGUUAGAGGAGCCCUCAGAUCUUGAAUCUUCCCAACAUCGACAAGCAAGCCUGUGAGUGGGUGAGCUAUAUUAGAGGACGUUUAUACUUUGGGAAACGGAUCCAGGAGAAAGAAGACUGAUGUGUUGAAAGAAGGUACUUCUAUGUAUGUUCCAUGGAGUCAAGGACAUUGGUUACUGCUGGAUCCCCAACUCUUACAACAGUGUCUGGCACACAGCAGGAGUGAAACAGAUCGAACGUCACAUGACAACAGUGCCCUCUAGAGGAAUGCUUUUCAAAUUGCAAUGGUGCCCUCUAUGUGGUAUUGGCAGCACCAGUACCUUCCAUCACACUGGCUCUUCUUCCAACGUGACUUCGUCACUGCACCCAUCAACAGGUGGAGUUCAUGUUCUUUCAUCGGCAGUUGGGGUGGGCUUGUGAUUAUGGAGGAAGUGACGUUAUGUGACUAAGCUAUCUUCUCCCUGGCUCUCAGCCUUGGAGCCCUGAGCUACCUCUAAUGUAAUCAGUUCAACUGCCCUGAAGCUGCCACGCUGGGAGGAAGCCCACACUAGCCCAUGGGGAGACUACAUGAGAAAGAGUCCAGCCCUACCCUCUCCCCGUCCAGUCACUAACGGACUACAACCACUUAGAGACCUAAGUCAGAACAGCCCUGCCAAGCCCUUCUCAAACUCCUGUACCACAGAAAACAUGAGAGGUAAUAAAACCAUUGGUGCUGUUUUAAAACACUAACUUUUGGGGUAACUUGUUAUGCAGCAAUAGAUCAACUAGAAUAGUGGGUCAUGAAUUCAAUUUGGUGUGUCAUGACUGGUAUGUCUAAAAACUAAGUAGAAGAGAACAGA